UUCCAGAUCAUGAACUGAGCCGAAACUGAGAGUCGGAUGCUUACCUGACUGGGCCACACAGGCGCCCCAGCACGGGAGAGUUUGCGCCUCCCCACCUUGCAUUACCAGGUCUAUGCUGAUGUGGCUGUGACCACAGAGCAGCCUGAGGGGACCUUCCAGAGCCAAAGCCCUUACAGCUAUUACAUUCAGAGCCUUCUCCAAGCUCCGAUUGCCAGAGGGGACCCUCCAACUCAAAGACAGAAGAGAAAAGGAAAAGAAAAAAGGGAAGAAGGAGAGAGGAGCUCCAGGAGAGUUUGCUGAAUUCAGCAGUUGGCCUUUGGACCACCUGGAGCUUUUGAAGACAGGGGACCCACAUCAGCAGUGUCUCCAUUU